ACAUAUCACAUUAAAACACCUGUUUUCAUACGAUCAGCAAAGUUAAGCAAUGUCGAGCCUGAUCAGUACGUAGAUGGGUGAUCGCUUGCGAAUACCAACUGC